GAUGAACGCUGGCGGCGUGCCUAACACAUGCAAGUCGAGCGGACCUUAGAGAGUGAACAGCUUGCUGGGAUCUUUCGAAAGGUUAGCGGCGGACGGGUGAGUAACGCGUGGGUAACCUGCCUCAUACAGGGGGAUAGCAGUUGGAAACGACUGGUAAUACCGCAUAAGCGCACAGUACCGCAUGGUACAGUGUGAAAAACUCCGGUGGUAUGAGAUGGACCCGCGUCCGAUUAGCCAGUUGGCGGGGUAACGGCCCACCAAAGCGACGAUCGGUAGCCGGCCUGAGAGGGCGGACGGCCACAUUGGGACUGAGACACGGCCCAGACUCC
rnacentral:rRNA from 1 species